AGGGAUGUAGCUCAGAGAUAGAGAGCUUGCCUAGCAAGUAAGAGGCCCUGGGUUCAAUCCCAGCCCUG
rnacentral:tRNA from 1 species